rnacentral:rRNA from 1 species
CAAUAGCGUAUAUUAAAGUUGUUGCGGUUAAAAAGCUCGUAGUUGGAUUUCUGCUGAGAACGACCGGUCCGCCCUUUGGGUGUGUAUCUGGCUCUUUCUUGGCAUCUUCUUGGUGAACGUUGCUGCACUUGACUGUGUGGAGCGCUACCCAGGACUUUUACUUUGAGGAAAUUAGAGUGUUUCAAGCAGGCAUACGCCUUGAAUACAUUAGCAUGGAAUAAUAAGAUAGGACCUCGGUUCUAUUUUGUUGGUUUCUAGAGCUGAGGUAAUGAUUAAUAGGGAUAGUUGGGGGCAUUAGUAUUUAAUUGUCAGAGGUGAAAUUCUUGGAUUUAUGAAAGACUAACAUCUGCGAAAGCAUUUGCCAAGGAUGUUUUCAUUGA